rnacentral:lncRNA from 10 species
AGUAUCGCGAGAUCAGGAAGGUGGCCGAGUGUGUCGCCGCGGCCAUCAGGCACUUCUCCUUCCUGCCCUUGUAUGAAGAAGGAUGUGUUUGCUUCCCCUUGUGCCAUGAUUGUAAAUUUCCUGAGGCCUCCUCAGCCCUGCAGAACUGGGGUUAUAGCCAUGUGACUGAUCUUCGUCCAAGAAUAUGUAAAGAAAAAGUGUUGAGUUGGCUUUUAGGGCUAGAGCAAUGUAUCUUAGGCUCACUUAAGGAAGCUGUAGAGAUGAGCCCAAGGAGGGAAACCAGAAGAGCCCCCCAGGCUCACCAGUUGUUUGUUGGCUCCCUACAAACAUGUCAUUCAAGUGGCUAAUCUUACAACAGCACAAAUUCAUCUAACCAGAGAUACUCUAUUAUAGCAAAGAAGAAAGAUAAUUUCAUUGAGCCAUCCUGUUUUACAGUAUUGAAUUAUUACCACAAGGUACCAACCAUAUAUGCAUACUUAAUAGGGUAUUUUGUCAAAACUAUGCAUGAAGGUCAUUUGUUUGAGAUGUCAGAACAUUUUCCCGUGAGAAGAUCUCAUUGGGCAUUGAAACAGAACCACAUGCUCUUCAGACCAGCAACCGCGACUACCAAAUACUCCUCUGUCAACUCUACUUGAAAAAAAUCGUGGUGACACAAAAUCUUUCUUUUUAGCACCCAACAGAAUCCCUUCAAAGCCUCGUGGUCUGACACCCUAUGCUACGUGACUUGUGACCCAUCCAUUUGUCAUGUUCUUCGGGAAUGUGGCUAAGGGGCUAAGAUGUGACUUGAAAAGAAAGGUAGAACAAGAUCAUCUCAAAUUUAUUAUCAAGGAAUAGUUCAGAAAACGACUUCAGACCACAGAGACAGCAGAACAGAUGGUCCGGCAUGGAUAGAGCAUCAGACACUCACAGACUGUGCCAACAAGAGCCAUCGAGUCAAAACAGCCAAAGGAAGGAGGGUCAUGGAAUGGGUUCUCUCACACCAAACUGAUGCCCAGAGGCCCUCAGCAUGAAUAACAAAGGCAACCAGACCCACAAGCCAUACUGAGUGGAUACAAAACCUAUACCUAGGCUGACAUCCCAAAUGUGUGUGGCAAGUUAGAUGAUGAUGGCACAAAAGACAGAACACCUUGCUUCUGGCCAUUGUCAGCUCUUGGAAGAGAGCACACUUUUAGAGGAGCAGCUGCAAGGAGCCUGAGAACAAAACUGGAAAUGUCUGUUAUGAAAGCCUUCACAGGAAAUUCUGCAAGUGGCAACGUGGGUCCAUUCCGUGUGUGUCACUAGAGCUGGCGCAAGCCCAUGGCCAUGGUGAGGCAGCGUUUCCACUGGAACUAAUCUGAUACCUGCACCAGCUCUUGCAACUGUGCAGUGUUCCCACUGCAAACUACGGAUGGGGUAAAAGACUGCUCACCUCCUAUUUCUCAUCUAAUCUCACACACUCUGUUUGAUGAGGCUAUGGAGAAACAGGUCUUCUCAUACACUAAAGGUGGGAGUACAAACAAUUCAAGCCCUGUGCAGGACAAUUAGGCAAUACCUAUCAAAAUUAUACAUGAUUUUUCCUGCUGACCCAGCAAUUCCACUUCUGGGAAUAAUUGACAGAUAUAGGUGCAUAUGUACAAAAUGAUGGAAAGCUCUCUGGUAUAUAUUAGUAAGUGAUAAAACAAGGUGUAAAAUAGUGUAUAUAUGGCUACUACCUUUUGUUUUAAAAAUGGGGGAAAAUGGUGGAGCUUGCGGUGAGCCGAGAUCGUGCCACUGCACUCCAGCCUGGGCGACAGAGCGAGACUCCGUCUCAAAAAAAAAACAGGGUGGGGUGGGGGGGAAAUAAUAGUACAUACUCAUAUUUACCUGUAUCUAUAUAAAACACACUAUCAAGGAUUCACAAGAAACUAAUACAAAUGAUCACCUUAUAGAUGGUAUGUAUUGGGGGAUACUGAGGUGAGCAGGGUAUAAGUGGGGCAAGACUUUUCAGUGUAAACUUCUUUUAAAUUUUAUUUUGAUUUUUGAAUAAUGUAAAUUAACUGUCAAAUAAUUAAAUUAAAAAUAACCAAUUUAUUAACAAAA